UACGUAGGGUGCGAGCGUUAAUCGGAAUUACUGGGCGUAAAGCGUGCGCAGGCGGUUCGUUAUGUCCGAUGUGAAAGCCCCGAGCUCAACUUGGGAAUGGCAUUGGAAACUGGCGGGCUGGAGUGUGGCAGAGGGGGGUGGAGUUCCACGUGUAGCAGUGAAAUGCGUAGAGAUGUGGAGGAACACCGAUGGCGAAGGCAGCCCCCUGGGCCAACACUGACGCUCAUGCACGAAAGCGUGGGGAGCAAACAGG
rnacentral:rRNA from 1 species